rnacentral:tRNA from 1 species
AGGGAUGAAAUCGUAUGAUCAGCGGAAUCAUAAUCCGCGUGUCGGGGGUUCGAAUCCCUCCACCGCUA